AGCCGUUCUCGGGUGAUGCACCCCGAAUCAGGCUCCCUCCUCUCUGGUUCCGGGUACGUCACCCAAGAACCAAC
rfam:Myotis brandtii contig279591, whole genome shotgun sequence.